rnacentral:rRNA from 1 species
UACGGAGGGUGCAAGCGUUAUCCGGAUUCACUGGGUUUAAAGGGUGCGUAGGUGGGCAGGCAAGUCAGUGGUGAAAUCUCCGGGCUUAACUCGGAAACUGCCAUUGAUACUAUCUGUCUUGAAUACCGUGGAGGUUAGCGGAAUAUGUCAUGUAGCGGUGAAAUGCUUAGAUAUGACAUAGAACACCAAUUGCGAAGGCAGCUGGCUACACGAAUAUUGACACUGAUGCACGAAAGCGUGGGGAUCAAACAGG